rnacentral:lncRNA from 1 species
GCUCCCCAGGAACAAUCCCACUCAUCAUGAUAAAAUCUGGGGAAAGAGAAAGGCUGGAGGGCACCACCCCCCCGCCCCUCAGUGCAGUGUUCCAGGGCCUGCCCACUGCCUGGGGAGGCGAUGCCAGCACUCAUCUCACAGCAGAGCAUGUACCAUCCUGUGCCAUCCUGAGCACUCCUUGCACACUGUCAUUUCCUGCCCAUAUCAACCCUCUGAAGGAGGGCCCAUUUCCCAGUACACAGCCGAACUGGGUCCUGUUACAACUGCAGCUGCUUCCCAUAUCUACGGGAUCCCCAUUGGUGUGGUGCUGACCGCCUGGAAGUCCUGCAGGGACUCCUAACUGUGAGGACUGCAAGGAAGAGAGGAUGGAUGGACAGGUCCACAUUGUCACCAGUCCACCACCGUGGCCCCUGGGACACAGAGCCCCCACUCAGCCCACCUGGUCUGCCAUGGACAGGAUAAGUUAGCAAAAACCAAGAUGAACAAAAAAUAUAGGAAAUCUGACUAUAAGUUAAUAAAUUU